UACGGGGGGGGCAAGCGUUGUUCGGAAUUACUGGGCGUAAAGGGCUCGUAGGCGGCCAACUAAGUCAGACGUGAAAUCCCCAGGCUUAACCUGGGAACUGCGUCUGAUACUGGAUGGCUUGAGUUUGGGAGAGGGAUGCGGAAUUCCAGGUGUAGCGGUGAAAUGCGUAGAUAUCUGGAGGAACACCGGUGGCGAAGGCGGCAUCCUGGACCAACACUGACACUGAGGAGCGAAAGCCAGGGGAGCAAACGGG
rnacentral:rRNA from 1 species